AGCAGCCGCGGUAAUUCCAGCUCCAAUAGCGUAUAUUAAAGUUGUUGCAGUUAAAAAGCUCGUAGUUGAAUUUUAGGCCUGGCCGGGCGGUCCGUCUUUGGCGAGUACUGUCCUGUGUCGGGUCUUCCUUCUGGUGAACCUGCAUGUCCUUUAUUGGGUGUGCUGGGGAGCCAGGACCAUUACCUUGAAAAAUUAGAGUGUUUAAAGCGGGCUUUUGCUUGAAUAGAUUAGCAUGGAAUAAUAGAAUAGGACGUUGUGGUUCUAUUUUGUUGGUUUCUAGGACCACCGUAAUGAUUAAUAGGGAUAGUUGGGGGCAUUAGUAUUCAAUUGUCAGAGGUGAAAUUCUUGGAUUUAUUGAAGACUAACUAUUGCGAAAGCAUUUGCCAAGGAUGUUUUCAUUAAUCAAGAACGAAAGUUAGGGGAUCGAAGACGAUCAGAUACCGUCGUAGUCUUAACCAUAAACUAUGCCGACUAGGAAUCGGGCGACGUUAUUUUCAUGACUCGCUCGGCGCCUUAUGGG
rnacentral:rRNA from 1 species